rnacentral:tRNA from 1 species
GGGACCUUAAGUUAGAUAGACUGUUGGCCUUCAAAGUCGGAAGAGUAACUUCGCGGUUACAGGUUUCG